AACUGGGAGUGAAAGGGAAAGGGGCUGAAACAGGGAGGGUGGAGUGAAGACUUCAAGCAGCAGCAAGUUAAAUCCCUCCUAACUCCCUGCCCCAAGACUGCCCCUCCCCUACACUAACUGAAGUUAUUUCAAGCAUUAGACAGGAAAUCUCUUGGAAUAGGGGACUCGACCAGGUGAGCGUUUGGACAUUUUACAAAACCUCCAGCAGCACCAGGGAAUUAGAGAUAUAAAUUUCUAAAUCUAGUGAUAUCAGAGGUCUGAUCAAACAGGCCACCUAGAUCACCCAUAGUGAAAUCCAAGUUAACACACUCCGGCUUCCAACAAGCUUUGUAGAUUCUAAUCUCUUAGGAGAAGCAGCCAAAGAUUUCCAAACAUGUGAGGAAAACUUCUAACAGGUGAGUAAAAGGGAAGAAAAUGCCAAAAGAACAAACAAAAACUUCUGCUUUCAGAGAAAUAGUACUUUCAUAAAAUGAAAACAGGAUGUUACACGUACAGAAAAAAGAGCAUUGGGGAAAAAAGACAGUCCUUGGAAAUGAAAAACACAAUAGCAGAUGUGAAAACCUCAAUAGAAUGGGUAAAAGGUAAGGUUGCAGAAAUCUUUCCAAGUGGAGCAAAAAGACAAAGAUUUUUU